rnacentral:tRNA from 1 species
GCCGGCGUGAUGAAAUUGGUAGACGUGCUAGACUCAAAAUCUAGUGGGGGCAACCCCGUAUCGGUUCGACUCCGAUCGCCGGUA